CUUUAAAGAAAGCGUAAUAGCUCACUGGUCGAGUCGUCCUGCGCGGAAGAUGUAACGGGGCUAAGCACGUAACCGAAGCUUCGGGUGCAUAUUUAUAUGCACGGUAGGAGAGCGUUCUGUAAGCCUGCGAAGGUGUCUUGUGAAGGAUGCUGGAGGUAUCAGAAGUGCGAAUGCUGACAUGAGUAGCGAUAAAGGGUGUGAAAAGCACCCUCGCCGAAAGCCCAAGGUUUCCUGCGCAACGUUCAUCGGCGCAGGGUGAGUCGGCCCCUAAGGCGAGGCUGAAAAGCGUAGUCGAUGGGAAACGGGUUAAUAUUCCCGUACUUUUAUGCAGUGCGAUGUGGGGACGGAGAAGGUUAGGUUAGCGGCCUGUUGGAAUAGGUCGUUUAAGCCGGUAGGCUGGUGCGGUAGGCAAAUCCGCUGCACCUUAAGGCCGAGAGGUGAUGACGAGGGUCUACGGACCUGAAGUAACUGAUACCACGCUUCCAGGAAAAGCCACUAAGCUUCAGCUGCAUAAGAACCGUACCGCAAACCGACACAGGUGGGCAGGAUGAGAAUUCUAAGGCGCUUGAGAGAACUCAGGAGAAGGAACUCGGCAAAUUGAUACCGUAACUUCGGGAGAAGGUAUGCCUCAUUAGCUUGUAGGAGAACAUCCGAAGGGCGAAGAGGCCGCAGAGAAUCGGUGGCUGCGACUGUUUAUUAAAAACACAGCACUCUGCAAACACGAAAGUGGACGUAUAGGGUGUGACGCCUGCCCGGUGCUGGAAGAUUAAAUGAUGGGGUGCAAGCUCUUGAUUGAAGUCCCAGUAAACGGCGGCCGUAACUAUAACGGUCCUAAGGUAGCGAAAUUCCUUGUCGGGUAAGUUCCGACCUGCACGAAUGGCGUAACGAUGGCCACACUGUCUCCUCCAGAGACUCAGCGAAGUUGAAAUGUUUGUGAUGAUGCAAUCUCCCCGCGGAAAGACGGAAAGACCCCAUGAACCUUUACUGUAGCUUUACAUUGGACUUUGAACAGAUCUGUGUAGGAUAGGUGGGAGGCUUUGAAGUGCGGACGCUAGUUCGCAUGGAGCCAACGUUGAAAUACCACCCUGGUGUGUUUGAGGUUCUAACCUAGGUCCAUUAUCUGGAUCGGGGACAGUGCAUGGUAGGCAGUUUGACUGGGGCGGUCUCCUCCCAAAGUGUAACGGAGGAGUUCGAAGGUACGCUAGCUACGGUCGGACAUCGUAGUGAUCGUGCAAUGGCACAAGCGUGCUUGACUGCGAGACUGACAAGUCGAGCAGGUGCGAAAGCAGGACAUAGUGAUCCGGUGGUUCUGUAUGGAAGGGCCAUCGCUCAACGGAUAAAAGGUACGCCGGGGAUAACAGGCUGAUACCGCCCAAGAGUUCAUAUCGACGGCGGUGUUUGGCACCUCGAUGUCGGCUCAUCUCAUCCUGGGGCUGUAGCCGGUCCCAAGGGUAUGGCUGUUCGCCAUUUAAAGAGGUACGUGAGCUGGGUUUAAAACGUCGUGAGACAGUUUGGUCCCUAUCUGCCGUGGGCGCUGGAUAUUUGAAGGGGGCUGCUCCUAGUACGAGAGGACCGGAGUGGACGGAUCUCUGG
rnacentral:rRNA from 1 species